rnacentral:rRNA from 1 species
AGGGAACGCUGGCGGUAGGCCUAACAAAUGCAAGUCGAACGGCGGCACAGGAAGAGCUUGCUCGUACGGGUGGCGAGUGGCGGGCGGGUGAGGAAUACAUCGGAAUCUACGUUUUCGUGGGGGAUAACGUAGGGAAACUUACGCUAAUACCGCAUAAGACCUACGGGUGAAAGCAGGGGAUCUUCGGACCUUGCGCGAUUGAAUGAGCAGAUGUCGGAUUAGCUAGUUGGCGGGGGAAAGGCCCACCAGGGCGACGAUCCGUAGCUCGUCUGAGAGGAUGACCAGGCACCCUGGACCUGCGCCACGGCCCCGACCCCUACGGGAGGCACCAUUCUCGGCUCUUGGACAUUGGGCUCACUCCUGAUCUAGCCAUACCGCUUGGAUGAAGAAGCCCUUCGAGUUGGAAAGCCCUUUUGUUUACAGAGAACAGCAGCUGGUUAAUACCCGGCUGCUCUGACGGUACCCACAGACUAAGCCACGGCUAACUUCGUG